AUACUCUGGUUUCUCUUCAGAGCGUAUAAAUCUUUCGCCUUUUACUAAAGAUUUCCGUGGAGAGGAGCAUAUAUGAGUUUGUAAUUAAUUUUUUGAGGCCUUGCUUCGUCAGGGCU